CAGGGACCAGGGAGCCACGUUGGCCGAGUUGCGCCGCGGACUACAGCUCCCAGCAUGCAGCGGCACUCCCAGCAUGCACCUCCCUCCCGAGACGCGCUCUGUUUCCGGCGCUCUGCUGCGGAGGCGGUGGCCGCGGGUUGUUGGGAGGAACCGAUACGUGCGCUUGGGAAGGCGAGUUCUGAGCUCUCCAGCGUCGUCGUCUGGAGGGGGAGCCGGAGGCCUUAACCCCUUUGCCACCUGUUAGGGCUUUCAUCCCACCGGGCCCCAGGGGUUAGGAGCCCAGCAGGCUCAGCAUCUUGCUGUGAUUCUGGAAAAGAGAGUGACCGCCUGGCCCAGCGCCUCUCCGUGGCGAGUUCGGGAGGCCUGGGACACAAGACGGCUCCGAGGGAGGAGCUUGAGGGAGCGGCGUCGCAGAGAUGGCCGGGGACCUGGUCCUGGUGGCUGGACGGUGACCCCGUGGACCCACAUUUACAGCUGUAGCCACUGAGUGCCGCGGAGUGGUGAGGGUCGUGAUCCUGGGACCUGCUCGAGGAUUCACCCUUGCUGCCAGAACCUGUUCCCUUCUCAGGAACGAAGGUGGUCAGGCAGGGGAGGAGAACGGGGCCUCAACCGUCUAGUGACAGCAGUUUGCCACCUAAUAGAGCUUUUCAGAUUUUGCCUCCUCAGGCCAUUUUACCCAGCCUCGGGCUAUGAAGAAUGGUCACACUGAAGGUAUUUUUCUGCAGUCAGGAGCGAAAAGUCCCUACUAUUGAAGGAGAAACUGAAUGUGGUUCAGGAGUCCCAGGUUCCUCCCUCUGAGAGGCCAGGUGGGGCCUGCGUGAGGAGCAGUUGUACAGGUGGUAGUACACUGUACAUCCCGCCAGACCUCAGGCCCCUGAUGAGGGGUCCAGAGUGCUUAUCUCCUUGCUUCAGUCUGGAAAAGGGAAUGACCCCAUAGCCCAGCACCUGUGGGAUGCUUCAUUGCCCGGAUGCUUCAUCGCCCAUUCCUCACCCCUAUGAUGCUGAUUCUUCCAGAAGAUGUUUCUGAUUCCUUGCUAGGCUGGUGGUUGCACCGUAGCUGAGAGGAGUCAAGAAGAGUCUGGUCUCUGCUCCACCUAGGGGUCCCGGAGAAGUAAGAACUACGUAUCUUCCCUGUCCUGGGUACUUGGCUGCUGGUUUGCCCAGGUGCCACAUAUGGGUGGGUAGCAGAACUGAGGCUGGCCCAGUAUCCUGACUCUCCUUGGAAGCCUGUGUUAUGCCCUUCUCCCAGGCUGAUAAAAUCUGCAGAGCUAACAGCUUCCUGCAGCCACGUCUGUGUCCAAGGCUGGACCCAUGCCUGUAGCCAGAUUCCCAGGAUCUGGAAGGGCCAAGAGACAGCAGCCCGGUGUCAGCAUGCCCCCCACCAGCAACCCCCCACCAGCACCCCAUGCUGUGAUUUGCCUAUGUGGUCUGUUCCCUGCCCAAACCGGUAUUGAAAUUUGAUCCCCAAUGUGGCAGUGUUGGGAGGUGGUACCUAGUAGGAGGAGUUUGGGUAAUAGGCUGGAUCCCUCAUGAAGAGAUAAGUACCCUGUGUGGAGGGGUGAGCCCCCAUGAGAGCUGGUUAGAGAGGCAGCCUUUCUGCAGUCGUCUCUGGCUUCCUCUGGCACUGUGUUCCCAUGCCAUCUCCACGCAUGCCCCUCCCCUUCCACUUGCUGCCAUGAAUUGAAGUAGCAUGAGGCCCUCAGCAGUUGCGGCUGCCCAGUCUUGAAAUUUCCACCAGAAUUUUGUGCCAAAUAAACCUGUUUUGCUUUUUUCUAAACAACUACUCAACCUCAGGUAUAGCAACAUGAAACAGACUAAGACAUUAUGGCCUGUGGUCCCAUCCAUUACCCCAGGGUGCAGAGGUGUUCCCUCAGCCAUGAAGGACGGCAUUCCCCUCUGGCCCCUGGGGUAUCUGGAGAGGUUGUAAGCAGCCUAGGUCAGUGGGAUGAGAAAGGGUUUGGAGGGCAGCUGGUUCAUGACCCCAGCGGCCUCAAUUGCAGCUUCUUGGUCUGAAGUACAGUGAUAAAAGCAUUACAGCCCCAGGGCCCUCCCCAAAGGAGGGAACGGGGGUAAUAGGAAGAUGAGGGGCCUUCAGGCAUGACUAGUUCCCACCAUGACCCCCCUGCUGGCCAGUGCACUGAAAUACAUCUGACCACUUGUUUCUCAAGUUCAUGGGUGUUGAGGAGCCCUGUGAAAUCAGACCUAUCUGGCUCCUCUCAUCCUGCUGCGCGUCUUGUUCAGGGAAAUGUUCCCUGGCUUCCUCACCAGGGAUCUCUUCUGAACUUUACCUCUCUGUUCAGGGGGCAAUAACUGCUGGUCAUUGCAUUCUCAUGGCGAAACAGAUUAAAAUUGAGCGUCUUGUCCACAUACUGCCCAGAGUUAGCAGGGACUGCUCUUCUGUGCGUUUGUCCUCCCUUUUCCUGACCAAAAGGUUCCAGCUGAAGGAAUCUUCCCAGGCAGGGCUGAAACAGGAACCAUUUUGGUAUUUACUGCCACCCAUGGUUGGUUCUCCGAGGAGAGUGAAGAGGUCCCAGCUGGGGCAGCCGUUAGCAGCUCAGUGGGAUAAACCUGUGUAAGACACGUUGAGAUGCUGAGUUUGUGAUCCUCACACGUCUCAGCAGUAGGUAUUUCUGCCCCAUUUUACCAACGAGUAACCACAUAGCUGUGGGUAGUGAGGCAGGAAGGUAGGAUCUGGGUGCAGGGGACAUAGGCCGAAGCACACUUCAGUCAUGACAGGAAAUACCCUCUCCAGAGGGCGUAGGCCAAAGAAAGGACUUGGUGAUGACGUCAUCCUCCCCAUCUUCAUAGGGUGUACCCCAGGUAACCCCAAGUAACCAAUGGAAUCCUCUAGUGGGUAUUUUCUCCCAAAAAUUCUAUAAUGGCAUUUAUGUGCACUGCACAGGCCUGCUCCCACACUGGAGCGCACUUCCAUUUCCAGCAAAUCCCUUCAUUCCUGCUUUGCUCUGUGUGUGUGUUGUCCAGUUCUUUGUUUGAGAUGCCAAGAACUGCCGGGCGCCGUGGCUCAUGCCUGUAAUCCCAGCACUUUGGGAGGCCGAGGCGGGUGGAUCACAAGGUCAAGAGAUCGAGACCAUCCUGGCCAACAUGGUGAAACCCCAUCUCUACUAAAUACAAAAAAAAUUAGGUGGGCACGGUGGCGCAUUCCUGUAAUCCCAGCUACUCAGGAGGCUGAGACAGGAGAAUCGUUUGAACCCAGGAGGCGGAGGUUGCGGUGAGCCGAGAAUGUGCCAUUGCACUCCAGCCUGGGUAACAAGAGCGAAACUCCGUCUCAAAAAAAAAAAAAAAAAAAAAAAAAGAUGCCAAGAACCUGGAUGUCCUUCACUGGUAACAGGACACGUCGGCGCCUUAGAUAGGGACAGCCAGUGUGAAAGCAGGUGACCUCAGCCACUUCGUCACUGCAACAUGAGGGUGGUUCUUUGUUGGCAGUAUUUUAGAUUGAGCUUUUCUUCCAUCAUACGUGUAACACAUGCCCAGUAAACCAAAUAGUGGGAAUAAGUAAAUAUGCUCCCCAUGGGGAUUCUCUUCCUGUUGCUAUGAAGUGAAGUGGUUGUGUGUUCUUCAGUUUUCUUGUGAGCCUGAUGCAGAGAAUGUCCACAGCUGACUGGUUCUCCGAGGUGAGCAUGUUUCAGAUGUGGGCGAUUUUCUGCAUUGCGGGUGUUGUAUUCCCUCCACACUUGGGAAUUGUUUUCUGUUUGCUUAUUCAUUUGGAACAAGGAGAGGUUUAUCUGGGCCUGGCUGGGUGGGUGGGUGGUAGUGAUCUUAGCACUCUGCCUGUGCCUGUUAAAAGCCCCUGAGAUCUGUGCUGGGCCUGGCCACUCUGUGGACACCCUUGCCAGGCUCCACCUUUAGCUGGUGUGUCCCUGCUCUUGGGCUUCUGUCUGACCAGGUGAUGAUUUAGAGAGACGGUGGGAAGUGGGGGGUGGGGAGCUUAACAGCUGACAUCAGAUUCCUCUUAGUAAAAGAACAGUCUGUUAGGGAAAUCACCUUGGUGGGUGUUUAGGUCAGGGCCCUCAGGGCGUGGGUACUUGAGGUGGCUUAGCUUGCUGGGUGGAAGGUCCGAUGGGGAGGGAAGAGAGAUGGUGGGGAGAAAACGGAUAAAGAAAUGAGACUGAGUUGCGGGAUUGGGGGGGAUGAAGAUGGGGGGCCCCUGAGUGUAGGAGAAUGAGGAUGCCUUGAGGGAUGGGAACUUCUUCACUCUCCACACCUCAUAUCCCCAAGUUUAUUUCCUGUUGCUGUAACAAUAACAGACUGGGAAAUUUAUAAUGAAAAUAAACGUCUUUCUUAUCGUUCUGGAGGCCGGGAAGUCCAAAGUUGAGGGGCAGGAAUCUGGCGAAUGACUUCUUGCCACAUAAUUUGUUGGAAACGGGUUUAAAACGUUGGGAAAAACCCACACUGAGACAAUGGGUCACUCAGCAAGGCCAGUUUACUUCCUGCAGGAAGGGUGCAGCUCACCAGCAGAGCACACCUGAAUGAGGAGACAGGGACAUUCACCGUUUCCUAACCCGACGCAGUCGCCCUACUGCUGCGUCCAGUUUCCAUUGGCCAGAACGGGACCUCACGCUCUGCUUGACCCGAUUGGCUAAACACUUGGGAAUUUUCAAGGUAGAGGCAGAGGAGCACAAAGGAAGAGGAAGUAACGUGAGGAAUGCUUCAGAUGCCACAACUUUUCCAAAUAAGGAAGGGAAUAAGCUUUGACCAAGCCCAGGCAUGUCCGGGCAGGUAUCUAGGUUAAAGUUGAAGGACGGGAUGCACUUACUUCUUUUAUUAUGACUACCAGCUACUUCAUUAGCAAAAGCUUUAAAAUAAAUUAACCUUUGAAGAAACCGUUAUUUAUUCAUAAUGAACUACAAGGAAAGCUUUGAAGAGGAACCUUUUCUUUAUUAUUUCCCACAUCAUUCCAUGGUGGAAGGUGGAGGAGUGGGAGGACACACGAGGGAGAGGCAGCUAAACUGGUUUCACGGGCGUGCGCUCUGGCAGUGACAGAAUCCGUUCCGGAAGGCGGAGCCCCAGCCACUUAGUUCCACCUCUGAAGACCAUCACAACGGCAAUUAAGUUUCAACGUGAACUUUGGAGGAACCAUUGAAACCGUAGCAAGCACUGUCCACUGAGUUUUCAUUUUUUAUUUUGGUAACUGCUUUUUAAAGCAUAUCCUGGGUGUCUGGCUGGUUCAUUUUUAUAAACUACCCGCCCUUGUUUCACAA